UACGGGGGGGUAAGCGUUGUUCGGAAUUACUGGGCGUAAAGGGCUCGUAGGCGGCCAACUAAGUCGGACGUGAAAUCCCUCAGCUUAACUGGGGAACUGCGUCCGAUACUGGAUGGCUUGGAUUUGGGAGAGGGAUGCGGAAUUCCAGGUGUAGCGGUGAAAUGCGUAGAUAUCUGGAGGAACACCGGUGGCGAAGGCGGCAUCCUGGACCGAGAUUGACGCUGAUGCGCGAAAGCCAGGGGAGCAAACGGGG
rnacentral:rRNA from 1 species